UACGUAGGGGGCAAGCGUUGUCCGGAAUCAUUGGGCGUAAAGAGCGCGUAGGCGGUCCGGUAAGUCCGCUCUGAAAGUCCGGGGCUCAACCCCGGGAGGCGGGCGGAUACUGCUGUGGCUUGAGUCUGGUAGGGGAACACGGAAUUCCUGGUGUAGCGGUGGAAUGCGCAGAUAUCAGGAGGAACACCGGUGGCGAAGGCAGCUCGCUGGGACGGUACUGACGCUGAGGCGCGAAAGCGUGGGGAGCGAACAGG
rnacentral:rRNA from 1 species